rnacentral:rRNA from 1 species
AUUGAACGCUGGCGGCAUGCCUUACACAUGCAAGUCGAACGGUAACAGGUUAAGCUGACGAGUGGCGAACGGGUGAGUAAUGUAUCGGAACGUGCCCAGUCGUGGGGAUAGCCCGGCGAAAGCCGGAUUAAUACCGCAUACGACCUACGGGUGAAAGCGGGGGAUCGCAAGACCUCGCGCUACUGGAGCGGCCGAUGUCAGAGUAGGUAGUUGGCGGGGUAAAGGCCCACCAAGCCUACGAUCUGUAGCUGGUCUGAGAGGACGACCAGCCACACUGGGACUGGGACACGGCCCAGACUCCUACGGGAGGCAGCAGUGGGAAUUUUGGACAAUGGGGGCAACCCUGAUCCAGCCAUGCCGCGUGCGGGAAGAAGGCCUUCGGGUUGUAAACCGCUUUUGUCGGGGAAGAAAUCUUCCGGGCUAAUACCCUGGGGGGAUGACGGUACUCGGAGAAUAAGCACCGGCUAACUACGUGCCAGCCGCCGCCGUAAAAC